rnacentral:rRNA from 1 species
UACGUAGGGUGCGAGCGUUGUCCGGAAUUAUUGGGCGUAAAGGGCUCGUAGGCGGUUUGUCGCGUCGGGAGUGAAAACUCAGGGCUUAACCCUGAGCCUGCUUCCGAUACGGGCAGACUAGAGGUAUGCAGGGGAGAAUGGAAUUCCUGGUGUAGCGGUGAAAUGCGCAGAUAUCAGGAGGAACACCGGUGCGAAGGCGGUUCUCUGGGCAUUACCUGACGCUGAGGAGCGAAAGUGUGGGAGCGAACAGG